rnacentral:rRNA from 1 species
AAUAGAUACCCGGGUAGUCCACGCCGUAAACGAUGUCGACUUGGAGGUUGUUCCCUUGAGGAGUGGCUUCCGGAGCUAACGCGUUAAGUCGACCGCCUGGGGAGUACGGCCGCAAGGUUAAAACUCAAAUGAAUUGACGGGGGCCCGCACAAGCGGUGGAGCAUGUGGUUUAAUUCGAUGCAACGCAAAGAACCUUACCUACUCUUGACAUCCAGAGAACUUAGCAGAGAUGCUUUGGUGCCUUCGGGAACUCUGAGACAGGUGCUGCAUGGCUGUCGUCAGCUCGUGUUGUGAAAUGUUGGGUUAAGUCCCGCAACGAGCGCAACCCUUAUCCUUUGUUGCCAGCGGUUCGGCCGGGAACUCAAAGGAGACUGCCAGUGAUAAACUGGAGAAGGUGGGGAUGACGUCAAGUCAUCAUGGCCCUUACGAGUAGGGCUACACACGUGCUACAAUGGCGUAUACAAAGNGAAGCGACCUCGCGAGAGCAAGCGGACCUCAUAAAGUACGUCGUAGUCCGGAUUGGAGU